rnacentral:lncRNA from 1 species
CUGCUGCUGCUGGGGGGGCUCUGCGUGGCCGCCUCGCGCCUGCGGCGGGCCAGGACCAGCCUCGUGCUCGGCGCCGGCAUCCUCUUCGUGGCCGCCGGCCUGUCCAACAUCGCCGCCGCCAUCCUUUCCAUCAUUCCCCUUUUUUAAUAAUUUCCUUUACAUUUUCCCCCGAUUUUUUUUUUAAUUUCUCCCCUUUUUUACCUCUUUAAUUAAUUCCCCCCCAUUAACGAGCCAUUUAACCCCUUCGCUGCCAGGCCUGUCCAACAUCGUCGGCGUCAUCGUUUACAUCUCGGCCAACUCGGGCGAGGGCUCGGCGGGGGGGGUGGGCGCGGGCGGGGUCCCCUCCCCCCGGUA